ACCAUGCAAGUCGAGCGGUAGAGAGGUGCUUGCACCUCUUGAGAGCGGCGGACGGGUGAGUAAAGCCUAGGAAUCUGCCUGGUAGUGGGGGAUAACGCUCGGAAACGGACGCUAAUACCGCAUACGUCCUACGGGAGAAAGCAGGGGACCUUCGGGCCUUGCGCUAUCAAAUGAGCCUAGGUCGGAUUAACUAGUUGGUGAGGUAAUGGCUCACCAAGGCGACGAUCCGUAACUGGUCUGAGAGGAUGAUCAGUCACACUGGAACUGAGACACGGUCCAGACUCCUACGGGAGGCAGCAGUGGGGAAUAUUGGACAAUGGGCGAAAGCCUGAUCCAGCCAUGCCGCGUGUGUGAAGAAGGUCUUCCGAUUGUAAAGCACUUUAAGUUGGGAGGAAGGGCAUUAACCUAAUACGUUAGUGUUUUGACGUUACCGACAGAAUAAGCACCGGCUAACUCUGUGCCAGCAGCCGCGGUAAUACAGAGGGUGCAAGCGUUAAUCGGAAUUACUGGGCGUAAAGCGCGCGUAGGUGGUUCGUUAAGUUGGAUGUGAAAUCCCCGGGCUCAACCUGGGAACUGCAUUCAAAACUGUCGAGCUAGAGUAUGGUAGAGGGUGGUGGAAUUUCCUGUGUAGCGGUGAAAUGCGUAGAUAUAGGAAGGAACACCAGUGGCUAAGGCGGACCACCUGCACUGUAUUGCUGACACUGAUGUGCGAACGCGUGGGUGAGCAAACAUGAUUGUGGUCGCUGGUAGUCCACGGUGUUAAACGAUAUCAUACUACGCAGUUCGGAGCCUCGAGCU
rnacentral:rRNA from 1 species